GCCCUGGUUGUGUAGUUCGGCCUAUCAUGAAGCCCUGUCGAGGCUUCGACCCGGGUUCAAAGAACACGUUAACUGCUUUAUUUUGCGAAAAUAGACAUGCAGAAACGUUUUUGAAAGUCCCGGCCAGGGCG
rnacentral:tRNA from 1 species